ACGAACCUCUGUCGGUACGUGACCUCUCGCGAUUCUUUCGCGGAGGGGGACUCCGGUCAGCAGGCGUGACUCGAAGGGGCCUGACGCAUUUCCAACCCGCACGUCAAGGACGCCGCAGCCGGUUGGGUAGCUGCGCGUGUCGGCCAUGAGGACCUACGUUGGCAGUAGACCGUUUCUCGCUAAAAAGUGGCGUUUGCCGGUUGUUUAGCCAGUUCGUCCGUGGCGCGACACCCGACCGAGGUUCAGGAGGUUCCACUAGAUGGGACCUCGCCGUUCCUUUCUGUAUAACACAGGUCUGUGUGCACCAGAGCGGGCCGGCGGACAGGCGAGGUGCUGCGCGAUACCGCUCUAGUCAUCGAACUGGGUGGUGCGUAGUGCCCGCCGGUGGUCCGCGUCGGUUACACCGCAAUGGGAAGAGAGAGUUUGGCUCGCGGCGAGUAGGUCGGUCACCCACCCGACCCGUCUUGAAACACGGACCAAGGAGUCUAACAUGUGCGCGAGUCAUGGGGUCUUGUUCAGGCCCAGAGGCAUAAUGAAAGUGAAAUUAUGAUAUCUGUAUAACAGCAGGAGUCAGUGUUGGGAUCUCCCGAGGAAUUGGAAAGCCCGAGGAGAGCACCAACGACCCGCCCGUUCUUGUUCUAAAAAAGUGUGGACGGCGUCUGAGCGCACACGUUGGGACCCGAAAGAUGGUGAACUAUGCCUGGGCAGGACGAAGCCAGAGGAAACUCUGGUGGAGGUCCGCAGCG
rnacentral:rRNA from 1 species